rnacentral:rRNA from 1 species
UCGCUGAUAUAUAAUAUACCGCGUCUCUCUCUCUCGCAGAAGUGGUCAAUAUCUCUCCCAAGGGGUCUGGGGCACAUCGCGCCCAGAAAAUACCCCCCUGGUAGUGUGUCGAGAGAAAUCAAAGGAUUGGGGGCCCCCACACCGUGGAGCUUGUGUUAUUGACCCACCGGGAAGACCUUACCAGUCUUGACAUCGAGUGCAGGGAUAGAGAUAUCCCCCUCUCUCGGAGACGCGAAGACAGGUGGUGCAUGGCUGUCGUCAGCUCGUGUCGUGAGAUGUUGGGUUAAGUCCCGCAACGAGCGCAACCCCUAUCCUAUUUACCAGCACGUCGCGGUGGGGACUCAUAGGAGACUGCCAGGGACAACCUGGAGGAAGGCGGGGAUGACGUCAAGUCAUCAUGCCCCUUAUGUCCUGGGCUACAGGCGGUACUACAAUGGCCGGCAACAGAGAGAAAGCGAAGCCGCGAGGCUGGAGCGAACCCCAGAUUCCCGGUCCCAGUUCGGAUCGCAGGCUGCAACCCGCCUGCGUGAAGUCGGAAUCGCUAGUAAUCGCAGAUCAGCAUACUGCGGUGAAUACGUUCCCGGGCCUUGUACACACCGCCCGUCACACCACGAAAGUUGGUAACACCCGAAGCCGGUGGGGUAACCGUGAGGAGCCAGCCGUCUAAGGUGGGGCCGAUGAUUGGGGUG